UCGUAGAUCAGAAUGCUACGGUGAAUACGUUCCCGGGCCUUGUACACACCGCCCGUCACACCAUGGGAGUGGGUUGCAAAAGAAGUAGGUAGCUUAACCUUCGGGAGGGCGCUUACCACUUUGUGAUUCAUGACUGGGGUGAAGUCGUAACAAGGUAACCGUAGGGGAACCUGCGGUUGGAUCACCUCCUUACC
rnacentral:rRNA from 1 species